GUUCGUUCAGGAAAUUCUCGAUGGUACGGAGAAGGCCAAGUUUACCAUCAACGGAAAGCACGUAUGGAUGCGCAAGUUUGUGACAAGAAACGAGGGCCCCUCUUAACUGGCAUUGGUGUGAUAGAAUGCUGGCAACGUCAUCUAUCUGUAUUUUGAUGUUUCGUUCCCUGUAGUUUCCCGUUAUCCCGUCGUUAUUGUAGCCGUUUGUCGUGUUAAUGUAAUUUCUUUCGUUUCUUUCUUUUAUGUGUUGUAUUUUCAAUUUGACUAGUGAAUGCAAUAUAUUAGUGGUAUUACUUGUGUUAACUUCAGUUAUUU
rnacentral:lncRNA from 1 species